rnacentral:lncRNA from 1 species
GUUAUUAUUUCCAUCUUUUGCUAACGAUGUAUACGUCUUUGCUCUCCACCAACUCCACUCAAUUAUUCAUUCAAUAAGCACCAACGUUCCAAGAGAGAAAGUAUUGCAAAGUUAGUGGAAAAAAAAAAGGAAAAGUGUGCUGCCACCUUUUGCCCACCACCUUUUGCUUUCCUCCCUCAGCCAACCACCACCUCCAUGGCUUUUAAAUUCAGCCAACAAAACUAAUCAUUCAUUUCAGAGGGAGUAAGUUAAUUCCUGCUGCCAACUGCCAAGUAUCGAGAGGUGAGUCUUGGCCUAAGUUUUCUUCAUUCCAUACUUGGUUCUUUCUGCAUUUGUUGAGGAAACAAUAUUUGCAAUUUCAGUUCCUUCCCCAUUGAAUUCAAUAGCAACAAACAGCCACCAACAACAAGCAAUUACAGGUAUAUACUAAGCUC